rnacentral:rRNA from 1 species
GUGAGUAGUUCAGAGUUUGAUCCUGGCUCAGGACGAACGCUGGCGGCGUGCCUAACACAUGCAAGUCGAACGGAGAGUAUAUGAACAAGACUUCGGUCAAGUGAGUAUAUUCCUUAGUGGCGGACGGGUGAGUAACGCGUGAGCAAUCUGCCUUUCAGAGGGGGAUAACGUUCUGAAAAGAACGCUAAUACCGCAUAACGUACCGAGAUGGCAUCAUUUUGGUACCAAAGGAGCAAUCCGCUGAAAGAUGAGCUCGCGUCUGAUUAGAUAGUUGGUGGGGUAACGGCCUACCAAGUCGACGAUCAGUAGCCGGACUGAGAGGUUGAACGGCCACAUUGGGACUGAGACACGGCCCAG